rnacentral:rRNA from 1 species
CGUCGUAUGUUAUAUGUGUCAUACGAGACUGCCGGUAAAAGACGGAGGAAGGUGAGGAUGAUGUCAAGUCAGCAUGACCUUUAUAUCCAGGGCUACACACACGCUACAAUGGUCUGUACAAUGGGUAGCCAAGCCGCGAGGCGGAGCCAAUCCUGAAAGCAGGCCUCAGUUCAGAUUGCAGUCUGCAACUCGACUGCAUGAAGCCGGAGUUGCUAGUAACCGCAGGUCAGCAAUACUGCGGUGAAUACGUUCCCGGGUCUU